UACGUAGGGUGCGAGCGUUGUCCGGAAUUACUGGGCGUAAAGAGCCUCGUAGGUUGGUUGUCGUCGUUGUUCGUGAAAUCUCACGGCUUAACUGUGAGCGUGCGGGCGAUACGGGCAGACUGGAGUACUGCAGGGGAGACUGGAAUUCCUGGUGUAGCGGUGGAAUGCGCAGAUAUCAGGAGGAACACCGGUGGCGAAGGCGGGUCUCUGGGCAGUAACUGACGCUGAGGAGCGAAAGCGUGGGGAGCGAACAGG
rnacentral:rRNA from 1 species